GCUGGAUUUGAAUUUCCCUGCUGUGAAUUUAUCUGAUGGUGCAGCUAUACCGGGGGUCUUUCGGACUCAGUCCCGGGGACCCACUGUUUACACUGGUUUUCAUUCCUAUUGUAAUUGCAACCUGUGUGUUAAUGUUCUGUUAGUUGUUCUAAAUUAGACACUUCAAUGCCUACUGAAGGAUGGUUUUACAUCGAGUCAGAAAUAGCUCUGUAUGCCGCGAAGAAUAAGUGCUCCACAUUCACAUCCCGUGAAUUUUUAUCAGCUGACAUGUGAAAUCCUGGAGAUCCGAACUGCUGAAAGUGUCUUCACCUGGUCGCUGAAACUGUUUUUGAAAAAUGAAGCGUUCAGUGACGAAGUAAAUGUCAAUGAGCCGAACAUGUAUUAUGUUGAACCGCGAAGGCACAAUUAAACUAGAACUAAAACACGUU